GUGCUAGAAUUUCCACACUUUACAGACACCAUUUGGGUCUACAAACACGACUUCGUCAACCUGACCUUCUGGCUGAAUACUUCAGGGUGUGAGCAGUCAGACACAGUCUACAGACUGUCAGUGAAGCUCAAAACAGACAAAAACAUCACCGACGACGAUGGACGAUUAGCUGUUAUUAACGGCAGGUGUGACGUAACAACUGGAACGUUACUUCGCUGUGUCAGUCCAGCUGGUCCAGUGGAGCUGUACAGCAAAGUGAACACAUCGCACAUCGAAAUCGAAUGGAAAUGGUGGUGGAAAGAAAAUGGGUCGUUACAGACAGGAACAAAACAUUACAUAUAAGGCUUUAUAGUCAGUACUAUAAUACAUAAAACUUCAUAUCAUAUUUUUCUUUGUCUCAUUCUUUGCUCUCCCACAUUAAAAUUCUCUCCAAAAAUGUACUACAACUGAUAUUUUCAAAUAUUAGUCAUUUGUAGCCAAACACCACCAUAUUUAACAGAUUUAACUGUUAGACCUUAUUUUUACUCAUUUAAAAAACAUGUGAUUCAUAAGUGCUGAGUAGUUGAACGCUACAGAAAGUAACCCUCACACAAACUUUAAGGAUUGCAUUUUUUCGGAGAGAUAGUAACUAUUUUAACAAUUAGCUGGUAGUCGAUAUGAAAUCGGGAAAAGAGGAACAACCUUGUGUGACAGAGAACUUCACAUUUGCAGACAACAACAACAACAACAACAACAAACAAUAAUAACAACAACAACAGUAGUAGUAGUAGUUUAAUAUUACAUCUAUUGCUGGUAAUGUCCUCUUUCUUUCUAUUUGUUACUGUUGUUGCAGACCCACCUACUGUCAAAAAUCUUACUGUAAACGGACAGGAGGUUAACGGUACUUUUAUUAUCGACGUGGGUCAGAACAUCAGCAUCUUCUGCGCUUUUGGUAAAGGCAACCCUCCAACCACCUUUCGUCUGUUAGAUGGAAAAGGAGAUGAAAUAGUUAUCGCUAGGGAGGAAACACACAUUAUUCAUUCUGGCGGCUGUUUCAUGUGAAGACAACUGGCCUGUCGUCCGGUGUGAAGGAAACAGGUCAACAGAAAACAGAUCUGUAUCAUUGCUCCUAAGAUGUCCUCCACAGUUUACUGACGUGGCUCCAAAAUUAAUAGAUCAUGACCUGACUGAUCAUGUGAUUUUAAAUAUCAAGGCCCACUCGACAAUAAUCAAUGGAUGUUUCUUGACCCCUUGCAUCUUCAACAGAAACUACUCGACGAAAAGUAAACUGCAGUCUUCAUGGUAUCCCGCCAAACUUAACUCUAACCAUUCUUCUUCAAGACAAAGACAAGUUGAUCCAAGGCAACUGGACAUUAACUGUCACAAAUGAAAUAGGAACUGGAGAAAUAGUUUUGACUUUUUUCAGCAUUUCAGGGGAUGAUCAUCAAUUCAUGGUAGUUACUGGGGUACUCUGUGGUGUUGCAGUCCUCACUGUUAUUGUCCUUGCCAUUCUGAGGGCCAGGUGGCAUAAACAUAAAUACGGUAAGUUUUUCGAGUAAUUUUUGGACUUGAUGUUGAUGUAUUCUUGUCUUUCGUCAAUUUUUUACCAAGAGCUUGAAG
rnacentral:lncRNA from 1 species